rnacentral:rRNA from 1 species
CCGCCCGUCACACCAUGAAGCCAGCUGUACCGGAAGUCGGUGCGCCAACCCGCAAGGGAGGCAGCCGCCCAUGGUAUGACUGGUGACUGGGGUG